rnacentral:rRNA from 1 species
UACGUAGGGAGCAAGCGUUGUCCGGAAUCAUUGGGCGUAAAGCGCGCGUAGGCGGCCCUGUAAGUCCGUUGUGAAAGUCAAAGGCUCAACCUUUGAAAGCCGAUGGAUACUGCAGGGCUGGAGUCCGGAAGAGGCGAGUGGAAUUCCUGGUGUAGCGGGUGGAAAUGCGCAGAUAUCGGGAGGAACACCAAUGGCGAAGGCAGCUCGCUGGGACGGUACUGACGCUGAGACGCGAAAGCGUGGG